CUGCCAUUCAGUACUGAGAAGAUGUCUGUGUCUGUCCUUGCUGAAUAUACAUCCCUGUGUCUGACUGGAGGAUGUAUGUAGAGUCAUCUGUGUUCGUAAAAACAUUGGUGAAAUUGUCC